rnacentral:rRNA from 1 species
GUAGGUGGCAAGCGUUGUCCGGAAUUAUUGGGCGUAAAGCGCGCGCAGGCGGUCCUUUAAGUCUGAUGUGAAAGCCCAGGGCUCAACCGUGGAGGGUCAUUGGAAACUGGGGGACUUGAGUACAGAAGAGGAGAGCGGAAUUCCACGUGUAGCGGUGAAAUGCGUAGAGAUGUGGAGGAACACCAGUGGCGAAGGCGGCUUUCUGGUCUGUAACUGACGCUGAGGCGCGAAAGCGUGGGGAGCAAACAGGAUUAGAUACCCUGGUAGUCCACGCCGUAAACAAUGAGUGCUAAGUGUUAGAGGGUUUCCGCCCUUUAGUGCUGCAGCUAACGCAUUAAGCACUCCGCCUGGGGAGUACGGCCGCAAGGCUG